AUUUUGGACAAUGGGGGAAACCCUGAUCCAGCCGUCCCGCGUGUAUGAUGAAGGCCUUCGCGUCGUAAAGCGCUUUUCUGGUAGAUGAGUACGGACAGUAUCCCCGGAAGAAGGAUCGGCUAACUACGUGCCAGCAGCCACGGUAAAACGUAGGAUCCCAGCGUGAUCCGAAUUCACUGGGCGUAAAGCGCAUGCAGGCGGCCGCACAAGUUGGAUGUGAAAUCUCCCGGCUCAACUGGGAGGGGACGUUCAAAACUGUGCGGCUCGAGGGCGGUAGAGGAAGGUAGAAUUCCCGGUGUAGUGGUGAAAUGCGUAGAUAUCGGGAGGAAUACCCGUGGCGAAGGCGACCUUCUGGACCGUUUCUGACGCUCAGAUGCGAAAGCUAGGGGAGCGAACGGG
rnacentral:rRNA from 1 species